GAUGAACGCUGGCGGCGUGCCUAAUACAUGCAAGUCGAGCGAACAGACGAUGAGCUUGCUCCUCUGACGUUAGCGGCGGACGGGUGAGUAACACGUGGAUAACCUACCUAUAAGACUGGGAUAACUUCGGGAAACCGGAGCUAAUACCGGAUAAUAUAUUGAACCGCAUGGUUCAAUAGUGAAAGACGGUUUUGCUGUCACUUAUAGAUGGAUCCGCGCCGCAUUAGCUAGUUGGUAAGGUAACGGCUUACCAAGGCAACGAUGCGUAGCCGACCUGAGAGGGUGAUCGGCCACACUGGAACUGAGACACGGUCCAGACUCCUACGGGAGGCAGCAGUAGGGAAUCUUCCGCAAUGGGCGAAAGCUUGACGGAGCAACGCCGCGUGAGUGAUGAAGGUCUUCGGAUCGUAAAACUCUGUUAUUAGGGAAGAACAGAUGUGUAAGUAACUAUGCACGUCUUGACGGUACCUAAUCAGAAAGCCACGGCUAACUACGUG
rnacentral:rRNA from 1 species